ACAGGAACUGAAGUUCCUUCAUCUCCUUCCUUCGCCUGAAUUGCAACAGCCCACAAACCAAUUUUGUCAACAUUCAACUCUUGUCAGUAGAAACUUGAAUAUCAGCCCACUAAAUCAGAUUUUUGGGUAAAUAUUCAAAGGCCAUAACUCUCUCACCUCACUCCCUCCAUUAAUGGAGCUUGACUAAACUCCACAAGUUCAGAAAUUCUUCUCUAUAAAUAGCAACCAAACACAUUCAAUUGCUCAAGCAAACAACUUCAAAGGUUUGCUUUAAUUCCUUUAUCUUCUUCCUUAACUUCUGAAAAUUGUUUUGAAAAUUAAAAAUGAAAUUUCAAUCCACCAUUAUCAUCAACCUCUGCUUCUUCGAACCACACCACAAAACCGCCGCACCACCACUCGAAAAACCACCAGUCAAACCCGACCACCCUCGAACCACCUAAGUCGCGCCACCAACGCGACAUACCACCGACAUUCGCAGUCCUCCUUUGCGCAGCCUUUGCUGCGUCGCGACUGCUUCUUUCGCAGCGCUCUCCAGCCGCCUGGCCGUGUUCCGGCCAAAAUCCGCCAGCCUCGACUGAAACCCGCCGUAUGCCGGCCAAAUCCAGUACCACAGAAUUCCUUUGCGUCCCCUGUUUUGCCCCUCUCUGCUUCGUUUCUCUGUUUGAGAAACUGAGACUACGACUUCAUAGACGAGGAUUAUCAAGAGCGCUAAUCUGUUCGUGAACUUAACUUUUGGACACGCGUCACGAGGUGGGUGAUCGAGCGGGGGAAACAAAAGGGAGAUCAUUUAGAGUUGUCAUCCACUUAGCAUAUGAUUAGCUUCUGCUGGAAACUCUGAACACUUGAUUAAUUAGUAAUGUUAAUGAACGAUUUACUUAGUUGUAAUAUUUAAUGAAUUUGAGUUGGUGGGUUGUAACUUAGCCUUGCAUUUAUUUCCAAGGAGAUAAUUGUGGCGGUAGCACCACCUCGUCGAGUCGAACCCUCAUGGAUUCGUUUUCCCCCAAAACCCGAGUUUCAUCGAAAUGAAAAAGGGUUCGGGUCGGCGAGGGUGUUACAGUGUAGGAGUCCCUUAUCGCAAACAUAAGAAUUGAUGAAGAGGCUCUAUGAGCUGGUAUUACUAAAUUCUUACCUUUGGAAGAGGAUCAAUGUGGUGCAUCAUUUACAAAGAAUGAUGGCCAGCAGCCUUGAGGAGGUGUCAGACACUUUAUGAACUGACAGAGAACAAGGCGGCUACAGGAGACGGGAGCUACCCACGUGAGCUCACCAUCUUCGUUCUGAAGCUUAAGAAGGAAAGAUAAUGUAUCGAAUUUAACUAAUUGCUUAUCUUUCUUAUAAUAAAGAAAGGUCUUGGCACUGAAUAAAGAUCAGAUUGAGCGAGAACCCUUUUUGAUUCCCCUGCCCUAUAGGAUUUAAAAACUUUUCCUGGUAAGUUGAAGUUUAGGUGGUCUGGUCCAUUUUAUGUCACUAAUACUAACAAGUUUGGUUCUAUUGAGGUGAUGAAUGCAACAGGUGGGAAGUUCAAAGUUAAUGGUCGACGCUUAAAGUUGUACCAUACAGGAAUCCCUAUUGAAUCUGUGCAGGAUUCAUACCUCCAACCCCCAUCCCCUUCAGCUUGAGGGAUGAAGCCUUAUAGUCGUGCGGGACCUUUGCGUUACUCGGGAGACAACAAGAUUUCCCUUUUUCUUUUCUUUUCAUCUUUUUUUUAGUUAGUUUUUCUAUUUUUUGUAGUUUGCUAAGAGAGUGGAGAGUACUAAUCAUCACUUUAAAGCUAUAUAUGUGCAGAAUUGUUGUCCAAUUGGAAAAAAAACGCACAAAUAUCAACGCAUGAAAUCACCUAAUUAGGAGGUUUGCUCGAUCGUCUCAGGCAACCUCGCCCGAUCGGGCCCGCUACAAGAAGCUGGCUGAAGAAAAACAAUGUACGCCAAUGCAAUUGGGCCAUAUCGCCCGAUCGGGCAACCCUCCGUCAAAAUUUCGAAACGAGAAACAGCAAAGAAGCAGGUUCGCCCAAUGCUGUCGAGCGACUACGCCCGAUCGGGCCCGCAACCAAAAUCUGGAUAUGAAGAAAAAACGUUUACCCGAUCGGGCCUGAGAACAAAACUGGCGGAGAAUACAAAGCAAAAAAGACGCCCGUUUGAGCUCGUGUUUGCAGAUUGAUAUUCUGAUUUAUCUUACUCUUUCACUCUCUUUUUCUCACAACCUCUCUCUCUCUCUCCUUCAAACCCCCUGUUGUAUUCAAUGUUUUAAUGAUGACAAAUAAUGUUAUUGAGACUAGAAAAAUAAAUUGAGUCUAGGAAAUUAAUUAUGUAACUUAGAAUUUAUUUUACAUAAAUUAAUAUUAUCUUGAGUUUAAUUUAUUUAUAACUUGUGGAGAAAUGGUUAUGAGUUUAACCUAGUCAAGUUAUUUAAAUAAAUUAAUUCAUAUGCUCGAAAUAUUGUAUGUUAUAAAAUUGUUAAUCUAAUGUCAUGGAAUAUUAUUUUGUAAAAAUAAUCUGCAUGAUGUUCGAAGAGAAUAUGUUUGUUACUUUCCUGUAAAAUGAACGGCUGAAAUCAUGGGCGUAACAAACUAAGCUAUUGCGAAGGACACUAAAUUCAAGUUGUGGUUCCUGUCUUCUCAUGAGUCAGUUCCUAGAAUCUUGGAGGAGUAACCAACUACCCAUGAAGAUAGCCCACAACAACUAUAAGUGCUGAAACUAUGGAGUGGUGGCUGAAUGAACGUGGAUUUAGUGGGAAAAACAACGUGGUUAUUAUGGGUACAUUAACGGAUAGAUCGUGGGUCAUUCUAACUCCCACGUUUAUGUAAUGGAGCAAAAAUAGGACCUGAUGUGGUUUUCUAUAUAUAGCUCGACGAUCAACCAGAAUAAACAACACUUUCCAGAUUUAUUGAAAUAUUUUGUGUGAAAGUUUAUUUUCGGUUAUUACUCUUCAAACAAUUAUUGUAAUACUUUUGGAGUGUGGGUUGAGAGAAUUAAAAUCUUGUAUUCAAGAGAGAGAAAAGGGAAAGAGAAGACUUCUAGUGCAGUCAAGUGAGGAAAGUCACGUGUUCAGGGGGAACAAGGUGACUGGAAACUGGUUCCUAGAGGAACUAAGUGAGGAUUGAUUUAUAAUAAGUUGUAAUAACUAUUAUAAAUAAAAGAGCAAGGUUCUUCCUAAAGAAUUGUCGAAGAGAACCUUGUUAAAGGGA